rnacentral:pre_miRNA from 1 species
UGUGGAUAGCUUUGGUCUGUGAUAAGAUUGUUGAUAGCUUUGGUCUGUGAUAAGAUUGUGGAUAGCUAUCAACAAUCUUAUCACAGACCAAAGCUAUCAACAAUCUUAUCACAGACCAAAGCUA